rnacentral:rRNA from 1 species
CAUACCAGGAUGAAAGCACCCGUUCUCUUCAGGUCUCGGAAUUUAAGCAUCGUCGGGCCGUGAUAGUACUUGGAUGGGGGACCGCCUAGGAACUUCCGGU